rnacentral:rRNA from 1 species
AAUCCAUAGGUUAAUGAGGCGAACCGGGGGAACUGAAACAUCUAAGUACCCCGAGGAAAAGAAAUCAACCGAGAUUCCCCCAGUAGCGGCGAGCGAACGGGGAGGAGCCCAGAGCCUGAAUCAGCAUGUGUGUUAGUGGAAGCGUCUGGAAAGGCGCGCGAUACAGGGUGACAGCCCCGUACACAAAAGCGCAUGUGCUGUGAGCUCGAUGAGUAGGGCGGGACACGUGGUAUCCUGUCUGAAUAUGGGGGGACCAUCCUCCAAGGCUAAAUACUCCUGACUGACCGAUAGUGAACCAGUACCGUGAGGGAAAGGCGAAAAGAACCCCGGCGAGGGGAGUGAAAAAGAACCUGAAACCGUGUACGUACAAGCAGUGGGAGCCCCACCACCAAAGCAUUCUCUGGUGUUGAAGGCCCUGCAAAGCAGCAUCGCGGUGGCGGAGCGUCGUUUGCGACGCCCAACGCACAAAACAAGCGGUGAGUGCUUUGGGGUGG